AAAAGAGCGAGGCCAAAACAAAGAAGACAGACACGCGCACACAUGGAGUCCGCGUCCUUCCGCUGCGUAACACCACCCUGCUAAUCCAACUACUGUACCCGCAUCAAGGUGGUGGUGAUGGUGAAAGUAGUGAAAGGGCUCGCCCGCCGUUGUCGGCCUCACAGAUGUGGGCAACGUAGGGCAAGCAAAGAGAACCUCUAGGCGUUGGAAGAGAAAUGAUGUGUUCUUUGCGUAUUUUUUGGAGUAAUAGCAGGAGAAGAUAACGUUUGCAUUUUGUUACCCAACUCACAACUGAAGAUAAAUGUUUUCAUUGUCCACUCUAUUGACACUGCCAUCGUGUUGCUGUACGUUUCUGACCCAGCGGUAGUUGAUAUUCAGUGGCACAUAAAUGCUUGAAUGCAAAUGCAAAAUGUGUAACAUAUGCGCAUGUGUCUGCUUUACAUGCAUGUCCCGCUAGCAUUGUUUCUGGGUGUGUGACUUAGCACAAAUUGAACAAAACCCAGGAGCAUGGCAUAACCCCUUUUUUCUAUAUAACGCCGCACGCGCAGGGUUUUCGUGCAGGAAAAAAAACAGUUUUCACGAGUCGGACUUUCAUGGUGAUGCCAGGACGGGCGAAGUUUCCUUUGUGCAGUGGAGCAGCCUAGAUCGUGAUUAUCGUGUUGCUAAACGAGCAGAAUCUUGAAAAUAAUGUUAUGUAUGGUCAGCAAAAUAUGACUUAUUAGCAUAGUGCACACGUUUUUCCUAUUAGAAGGUUCAGUAGCGCUGCUGGCAUGGUCACGUGAGGUAGGAGGAACAUGCUUUUUGAGUGGAAGUUGAAGUUCAUUUAAAAUUUAAACUACUCCAUUUGUAUGCAUGUGUAGAAAAGGGGCCUGACCUGGCUGUCUAUCCCGUUGACACGCAUGCCUUUCCCGUUUCGUAUCCUCCUAUCGCGAGUCAACAAAUUGCAAAUACGGUCCUAAAUAAUAUUUGACAGGUACACACUGGUACGUAGAUGUCAUUGCAACAAAAAUACUAAAAAGGGGAUAAUUCGACUUAUCCCCUUAUUGCAUACGGAGGUUCAAUUGUGUCAGGCCACAGCUUGCAUAUCGAAUGCAAGUGUGGUUGUACAUAACGUUGCUCGUGGCAGCUGAAUGAGUUGAAUGAAUCACACUUGCUUAUACUAGGCUUGCUCAGAGCACUUCCCCUGUUCCUGCAAGCAUUACGCAAUUUUUUUAGUCCCCCCAGCCAAGAGGAAAAAAAAAAAAACACCAGGUUUUAUAACAAUGUUACGGGUUACUGCUGCAGCAUAAAAAUACCAAAAGCUUUGGUGUGAAAUAGGACAAAUGAAAAAAAAAAGAAAAUUCUUAAGAUUUUAGAAUUUGUUGUGAUUUUUUGUGUACAAACUCUCCAUCCAACAUGCAUCACAUCUCAUUCCCCUCCCUACUCCAGAUCUGCCAUGCACGCGUCCAAGACCGAAGCCACGAACGCCAGCGGCGGAGACUCCAAGAGUAUGUCUUCGUUUCUUCCCUUUUAUAACCCAUUCUCCCCCCACUCUAGCGCACAAAGGGCUACUGCCACAUUCCGCGAAACGGGGGAAUGUGGUCUUCCAUUCGAUGUGGCCGGCAAAGGCCCCCGUUUUAACAAGGUGUGUGUGACCGAAAGUGUGAGCUCGAAGGUCGCAAAAAAAGAGAAAAACAGAAAUCUCUGGUCCCUUUUUGUUUAGUGUGUGUCUUCCUCUCUUUUUUCCGUUGUGCCUCGCUUGUCGGCAUUCUGACGAUGCUCCGCCCACAACAGUGUGCCGCCGUGCCACCCUUAGCAAAUGGAGCAUGGGUUCUAGUAAGCUAACGAGUCAGGUGGGACGGCAGACGCCAAGACCAAGGCGGACUCGGCUACGACGGAGUUGGAGAAGUACUGGCAGGUGGUGAGGAGCAACCCAGCCGAUUUUACGGGAUGGACGUACCUGCUGCAGUUUGUGGAACAGGAGGAUUCAGGAAACGUUUGAGGAGUACAACAAGAUGUUCAAGGUUCAAGCAACGGCCAAGAAACGUGCGGCAGAAGACGACGCGGCAGGUGGAGAGAAGAAAGUCAAGUCUGAGAUGAAUGGCGGCGACGCAACAGCUGCAACCGCAGUGGCGACUACUGCAGCUGCUCCCACUGCGACGACCGACCCUUCCGCGCAGUACAAUUAUGCGCAGUAGUGGGGAAGCUAUCCACAGGCUUACGGCUACCAGCAGCAGUGGAACACAUAUCCAGCAACGUCGUACUACCCAACGCACUGAUCCCAGUCAACACAUCCGAGAAUGAGGUUUCCGUAAAACCACUGCCUGGUGCUCCAGCCAGCGCGCGGGCAAUUCACUUCACUCAUUUUUCUUCCGGUUUUCUCUACUCCCACAUUGUUUGCUCAUUUGAUGGUCGUGGAUGGGAUCGCCCCUGAAGGGAGGGGUUCAAGGCCACCGAAGAAGGCAGGGACCUCCACUGGGCAUUGUAAAUAGCAGUUCCUCUGCUGGGACUUUAGUUUCCUUUUUAGCGCUGUGUCGCAUAUGUGUAUAAAUUGAGUAAAUAAAACUGUUUGUGUCACUA